rnacentral:rRNA from 1 species
UGCGAACGUUUGCGGCGGGCCUAACACAUGCAAGUCGAACGCACUAGCAAUAGUGAGUGGCGCACGGGUGCGUAACACGUGGGUAAUCAACCCUUCAGCCUGGGAUAACGACUCGAAAGGGUCGCUAAUACCGGAUACGGCGCGAGAGGCUUCGGCUUCUCACGAGAAAGCCACGCAAGGGGCACUGAAGGACGAGCCUGCGGCCCAUCAGCUAGUUGGUGAGGUAAGAGCUCACCAAGGCUAAGACGGGUAGCUGGUCUGAGAGGAUGAUCAGCCACACUGGAACUGAGACACGGUCCAGACUCCUACGGGAGGCAGCAGUGGGGAAUAUUGCGCAAUGGGCGAAAGCCUGACGCAGCCACGCCGCGUGAGCGAUGAAGGCCUU